rnacentral:rRNA from 1 species
ACAAAUCCCCUGAAUGUGUCUGAUCUCGUCUGAUCUCGGAAGCUAAGCAGGGUCAGGCCUGGUUAGUACUUGGAUGGGAGAAACGAAAACAAAUCUAAAAUUUGUC